UACGGGGGGAGCAAGCGUUGUUCGGAUUUACUGGGCGUAAAGGGCGCGUAGGCGGCCUGUGCAAGUCGGUUGUGAAAUCUCCGGGCUUAACUCGGAACGGUCAACUGAUACUGCUCGGCUAGAGUGCAGAAGGGGCAACUGGAAUUCUUGGUGUAGCGGUGAAAUGCGUAGAUAUCAAGAGGAACACCUGCGGCGAAGGCGGGUUGCUGGGCUGACACUGACGCUGAAGCGCGAAAGCUAGGGGAGCGAACGGG
rnacentral:rRNA from 1 species